GUUUAUCAAAAGAGUUGUGGCAAAGGAGGGGCCCGAGGGGGAUUAUGUAGAGGUUCGAAAUGGUAAACUGGUUGUGAAUGAUGUUGAACAAGAUGAGGACUUCAUUUUAGAACCACUUGGUUAUGAGAUGGACGAAAUGGUUGUGCCCGAAGGUUAUGUCUUCGUACUGGGGGACAUCCGUAACAACAGUUGUGAUUCACACAAUUGGGGACCACUUCCUAUCGAGAAUAUCCUUGGUAGGUCGGUGUUUCGCUAUUGGCCACCCUCUAAAGUUUCGAGCACAAUACAUGAGCCAGCCACAAUGAGCAAUAUGGUAGUAGCAGUUUCAUGAUAAUCUUGUUAUUCUCAAGAAUCAAGAUUGAUGAUUGGUAAAUCAUGGAUUGCUCAAUCGAUAAGAGGGGAGCGGUAGGGUAACUGUCUACCGAUUGCCCCUCCUCCACCAUGGAGGGGCAGUUAUUGUGUAUAAGUAGGCACCUUCACUGAAGACGGGUGCUUUGUGUGUAUGUAUGGAAGAAAAUAGAUGUUGGAACAGGUAUCCAUCUAUGUUAGUAGUAAUAAUGACCUAAUGUUAUUGAUUGUUUUCUCUAUGAUCAACUGUGUGUCUGAGUUGGUUUGUUAAACUACAAAAUGGACUGACUCUUCAAGCUUGAUUUUCCAACAUUUCUUCAAAAUUUUGUGUAUUUGCUCUUGAAAGUGCUUAUAAUAAUAUAUUCUUAGCCCAUA